AGUGAACGCUGGCGGUAGGCCUAACACAUGCAAGUCGAACGGCAGCACAGUAAGAGCUUGCUCUUACGGGUGGCGAGUGACGGACGGGUGAGGAAUACAUCGGAAUCUACUUUUUCGUGGGGGAUAACGUAGGGAAACUUACGCUAAUACCUCAUACGACCUACGGGUGAAAGCAGGGGAUCUUCGGACCUUGCGCGAUUGAAUGAGCCGAUGUCGGAUUAGCUAGUUGGCGGGGUAAAGGCCCACCAAGGCGACGAUCCGUAGCUGGUCUGAGAGGAUGAUCGGCCACACUGGAACUGAGACACGGUCCAGCCUCCUACGGGAGGCAGCAGUGGGGAAUAUUGGCCAAUGGGCGCAAGCCUGCUCCAGCCAUACCGCGUGGGUGAAGAAGGCCUUCGGGUUGUAAAGCCCUUUUGUUGGGAAAGAAAAGCAGCAGGUUAAUACCCCGCUGUUCUGACGGUACCCAAAGAAUAAGCACCGGCUAACUUCGUG
rnacentral:rRNA from 1 species